AAAGCCUGACCCAGCAACGCCGCGUGAAGGAUGAAAUCCCUCGGGAUGUAAACUUCGCAAGAACAGGAAGAAUAAGUAAGAGUUAAUAUCUCUUACGAUGACGGUACUGUUUGUAAGCUCCGGCUAACUCCGUGCCAGCAGCCGCGGUAAUACGGGGGGAGCAAGCGUUGUUCGGAUUUACUGGGCGUAAAGGGCGCGUAGGCGGCCACCGCAAGUCGACUGUGAAAUCUCCGGGCUUAACCCGGAAAGGUCAGCCGAUACUGCGGGGCUAGAGUGCAGAAGGGGCAACUGGAAUUCUCGGUGUAGCGGUGAAAUGCGUAGAUAUCGAGAGGAACACCUGCGGCGAAGGCGGGUUGCUGGGCUGACACUGACGCUGAGGCGCGAAAGCUAGGGGAGCGAACGGGAUUAGAUACCCCGGUAGUCCUAGCCUUAAACGAUGAAUGCUUGGUGUCUGGGGUUUUAUAGUCCCCGGGUGCCGUCGCUAACGCUUUAAGCAUUCCGCCUGGGGAGUACGGUCGCAAGACUG
rnacentral:rRNA from 1 species